AUCCUGAACAGCUUCUAUUUUAUCCACCCGCUAUCCAAAGAUGGCAUCAACCUCUGAGCACAGGGCAGAAAUUCACGAAGUCAAGAAUACUCGCAGAAGGUAAAUCAUCUUAGUGCCACGAUACACGUUCAACUUGCCUGACAUUCCGUAUGAACUUGCUGCUUACCACCCAAGUUUCUUCAUACAGUGGCAUUCCAGAUUCCUGUAUCGCCACGCAGGUGCUCAUCAUCCUUUGAUCCAUUAAAAACAGUUGUCACCGCAGUUGCCAGUUUGUGACUUCCACGUUCAACACUGGUGUUUCCAGCUGUAAUAUUUAGUUUAAGACAUCAGCUAUUUCUGCUUUUAAACACCAAAGCAUUUUUGUCACAGAAUUUACUAAAUAAUUUUGAAAUAGGUCAUCUACAGUAAGCUGUGAAUUCUGCUUUUGAUUAUACAGUUCUAAUCUGCAAUGAUUAAAUGAACUACCAAACAGGCAGAAAUACUGUGCAAGUUACAUAGUUAAUAGUUUAAACAUGCAGAUAAAAUGUUUUACGAAAAUUCUAAUAUGAUGAGUUUUCCCUAGAAAAGAAAGUCACCAAUUUAAAAAAAACAGAAGAAAGUUUCUCAAAAACAAAAAGAAAAAAUUAAGUAUGUCGCUAAUUUUAAGCUAAUUUAAUUAGCUCAAAGGUUCAUGGUUUUCUUGAGGUGCCAAUUCUGAACAUAAAAGGUGUAAAUAUAUAUUCAGGGAAAUUAAAUCCUCCUUGGACGAAUAGUUCAUGUAAUAAUGGGCACGAUGGACUGGAAGGAAGGGCGGGGGGCACAAAAAAACCCCAACAACAACAAAACCAAAAAACAACUUGUCUGGAAUUAAUCCAGAUAAGCCUUGCUUCUUCAUAGCCAGCACCAAACAGUCUUUCCUUCUAAGAAGUGCAUGUGAUGUGGUACUUAACUAACAGAAAUCAGAGAGACGGAAAAAAGGUGACUAAGAAAGGAUAAAAACAAUUCAAACAGGUACAGAGAACAUUUCAAGUGUUCUUGAAGAAGUCAGGCCUUGUGGCUGACUACACAGAAAGUGGAGUUACUUAAAAGAUGCUUAUGUGCUACGAAUGCUGUAACACCGAUUUCCUUUGGCACCUUCAGUACUGGAGACAAACUUCAAUUAAACAGCAGUCAAAAUUUUUCUAUAAACCUAAAAUUUCAAGUCAUCAACAGAUUUGGGGGGGCAAAAUAAGUCCUCUUGCACAAGAAUCAAGACCUAAGUGCUUAUUAAAAACUUUGUCUACUGAAUUUUACCUCCAUAUAUGACAGAUUAUUUAAUCCUUGCUGUAACUGAAAACAACAUUGGGGUAUUCACAUUCUGAAUAGACAAUAAUGAAAAAGAAUGAUACUAAAAAACUCACCAAAAUUUCCUUUGUAUGCAAUACCGUGCUGACUUAAUAAAUCUUUAAGUUUUUUUAUUUCUUUAGAAAGUUGCUUGUAUUCCUAAGAAAGAAAAUACAUUUAAAAUGGCUCACCUACUCUCCAAAUGCAUACAUAAAAUGGGAGUUUAUAAAAAGUAAUGGGUCUGUGCACAGCUGUUACAGCUUUUGACUUAAAAGAUCUUAAACUGCUUAUUCCAAGAACAAGGUGCAAAUUUUAUAAAGAUAUAUUUCUAUGUUGCCAAAACAUAAGCCAGCUUUUUCCAAGCCUGAGAGGAAAAAUUAGGAUGCUUUCUGCAACUAUUUUGGAUCUAUCCUCUAAAUAGCAUUUUAUCAUAGCACAAAAUUGCAUUAAUAAAAUAAGGCUGGUCCUGUAGCAAACUUAUUUUAUAUCAUAAUGCUACAGUCUGGAAAUUUGUCACCUCCUCAACUCUUGACCUAGUAACUUCAUGGUCUCGCUUUCAGCAGUUUCUGUUAACUUAUGGAGCCAGGGAUUGCUUAGUACUUUUGAGACUCAAACCACAUAUCUGAAAUCUCGAAGAAGCCUCAAUUUUUUAUUGUGUUUUGGUUUUUACACGAAUCACGAAAGAGCAAAAGAUUAACUAUUUAAGAUUCUGUGGUUGCCAAAACAGCCAACUUUACGUCAAUUAAGCUAUAAUGAAGUCAGAAAAAGAAGUACAAACUAUUAAAUACUGUAUUGGUAACUACUGGCGGGGGGGAGGUGAAUAUUCCAGCUCUUAACAGUACCACAUCAAAAUGGUGAUCUUUAUGUAAGUAUAUUCAGCUUAACCACAGUCUAUUUCGUUAUAUUCAGGAAUUACUACGUGGUGUUUUCUUUGCUACAUUUUCAAAUAAAAUGACAACAGCA